UAUUAUAGCAUAUGUUGUGUGAAAAGUUGGAGUAGUAAUAGUUGGUGCUUGAAACUCAAAGAAUUUGGCGGUAUUUUAGUCCUUUCAGAGGAACCUGUUCUGUAAUUGAUACUACACGAUUUGCUUUACUUUUUUUAUUGAUUUGUAUACCGUCGUCAUAAGAUUAUCUUGUUAAGAGUUAAAAAUUUCUUUAUUUUGUAUUGAAUUUAUGUCAGAUCAAGGUGCAGUUUAUGGAAAAGAAGAAAUGGGUUACAAUAAUGUUAAUUAUUUACGGAGAGGUAAAUGUAAUUGUUUGUCUUGAAGGUGGAUUUGAUGGUAAGUUUAUUUGAAUAGAUGAGUUGAUUAGGGCUCUAGAAUGUGCACACAUCGCCCGUCGCUCUCAUUAUAAUAUGAG
rnacentral:rRNA from 1 species